rnacentral:rRNA from 1 species
UACGUAGGUGGCAAGCGUUGUCCGGAUUUACUGGGCGUAAAGAGCGCGCAGGCGGUCGAUUUAGUCGCGUGUGAAAGCCCCCGGCUCAACUGGGGAGGGUCACGCGAUACUAUUCGGCUCGAGGAAUGGAGGGGAGACUGGAAUUCUCGGUGUAGCAGUGAAAUGCGUAGAUAUCGAGAGGAACACCAGUGGCGAAGGCGAGUCUCUGGACAUUUCCUGACGCUGAGGCACGAAAGCCAGGGGAGCAAACGGG